rnacentral:rRNA from 1 species
GUUGAACGCUGGCGGCAGGCCUAACACAUGCAAGUCGAACGAGUGGCGGACGGGUGAGUAAUGUCUGGGACACUGCCUGAUGGAGGGGGAUAACUACUGGAAACGGUAGCUAAUACCGCAUACCAUCGGAUGUGCCCCGGUGGGCUUAGCUAGUAGGUGGGGUAAUGGCUCACCUAGGCGACGAUCCCUAGCUGGUCUGAGAGGAUGACCAGCCACACGGGAACAGAGACACGGUCCAGCCGCCUAAGGGCGGCAGCAGUGGGGAAUAGUGGACAAUGGGCGCAAGCCUGAUGGAGCCAUGCCGCGUGGAUGAAGCAGGCCUUCGGGUUGUAAAGUACGGUCAGCGAGGAGGCGUUACUCGCAGAAGAAGCACCGGCUAACUCCGUGCCAGCAGCCGCGGUAAUAC